rnacentral:rRNA from 1 species
CCUACGGGUGGCUGCAGUGGGGAAUAUUGGACAAUGGGGGGAACCCUGAUCCAGCGAUGCCGCGUGUGCGAAGAAGGCCUGCGGGUUGUAAAGCACUUUAGACGGGGAAGCGUUACCCGAGGAAUAAGCACCGGCUAACUCUGUGCCAGCAGCCGCGGUAAUACAGAGGGUGCAAGCGUUAAUCGGAAUGACUGGGCGUAAAGGGCGCGUAGGCGGCCAAUUAAGUUAUAUGUGAAAUGCCUGGGCUUAACCUGGGAUCGGCAUAUAAGACUGGUAGGCUAGAGUAGAGUAGAGGGAAGUGGAAUUUCCGGAGUAGCGGUGAAAUGCGUAGAUAUCGGAAAGAACACCGGUGGCGAAGGCGGCUUCCUGGACUCUCUGACGCUGAGGCGCGAAAGCGUGGGUAGCAAACAGGAUUAGAUACCCUUGUAGUC